GCUCAGAAAUGGCCCACCUAGAUAUUCACCCAGGAGAGUGAAAGCAUAUGUUGAUCCAAAGCCUUGUACACAAUGUUUAUCGCAGUUUUCUUCUUCUUCUUUUUUUUUUUUUUAGCAAUUGGGGAUCGAACUCAGGACCUUGUGCUUGCCAGGCAGGCACUGGUGCCGAGCUACACCUCUGGCCCUUAGCAGUUUUAUUCUUAAUAACCAAAAAACCCAGAAACAAUCCAAAAUUCCAAAUGGCAAAUGGAUAAACCUGCUGUGGUACGCCCAUAUGGCGGAGUAGUUCUCAGAAUAAAUAAGAACCCAAAUUGAUUUGCAGGCAGCAUGGACAAUGCUUGGGAGAAGCAGACACAAAAAGCUAACCAUAGACCACAAUUCCAAGGGUAAGAGGUUCCAGAAAAGGCAGAACUAAUUGGCGGUGAUGGGAAUCAGGCCAGGGGCUCCUGGGGGCUCACAGGAACCUUCCUAUAUCGGGGUCUGCAUAGUGGCCGCCUGUCUCCUACCUUGGUCAAAACUCCGGAGCUACAUUUUUAUGACUGGCGUGUUUUACUGUGUGAGCAGUCUGCUGAGGAGCAAGCAAGCUAAUCGGUGAGCAGGUGGUCUGCGAGCCUGGGAGCCCAGGGAUCUGUGCAGGUGAAGGGUGCACAUGAGGCCAAAGGAGUGCGCGAAUGCUUCCUACUGUUCCCAAAGCAGCUGUCCCUGAUUUUGCUCUCUGUCACUUCCUGGGCCUGUCGGGGAGACUCAAAGAAGCUUUAGGGGGCAUCACCUGCUGAUGUCCAACAUAGGUCCAACUCUCUUACCUUUAGUGGGACUGCUCCCCCUGCUCAGGAACUAUCAAUGGCUGCCGGUGCCCAAGUCAAAACAAAUUUCCAGCUGUGUCACUGGCUGCCCACUAACCUGCACGUGCACCUUCCUUCUCACUCCUCCUCACCUGCGUCUGUCCUCUGUGUGUCCUGUCCCCUCUGCUCCACACAAUUAGGGCUCACCUUCCUCAGGCUCAGUAGACAUUUUCAAGGUUUGGAUGGAUCCAUCUUCCUCCCUGUGAGAUCUGGGACAUGCCACCACCCUCUCAGGCCUCAAUUUCUCCUUUCAUUAGCUUCCCUUAGUAGGGACGGCUCGAAGGGGCAGGAAACAGAUCUGGGGGAGUGGACCAGGCUGAUACUGUGGACAGUGACCCCAGAGAGAGCCCAGCAGGCAUUGGGAGUCUGCAGCUGGGGCAAGUGGGAAGGCCUAGAGGGAGGCUUCGGAACAUCAGCCCAGAGGUGGGGCCUGCAGCCUGGGUGCAGGCAGAAUGGCCCAGAGGCACCAGCUGCUAGGGGAUGAACGGGAUGAAAGGUCAACCCCCAAAUUCCUGUGUUCAUGGCAUCUGGAGGUGGGGCCCUUGGGAGGUGAUCAGGGUCAAAUGACGUCUGGGGUGGAGCCAUGAUAGGAUUAGUGGCUUUCUAAGAAGGGGAAGAGAGGUCCUGGCUGGCUGUGUCCACCUUGGGGUGCCCUCUGCCAUGUUAUGAUGUCACAAGAACAUUGUCACACAAUGAGCCACCACUCUUGAACUUUCCACCCCCAGAACCAACGAGCAGAUGAACCUCUGUUCUUUAUAAACGACCCAGCCCUUGGUGUUUUGAUACAACAACAGAAAACAGACCUAGACACGAGCCAUUUCUGCCACCAUGCUGCCCCCUGCGACACUGCUCAGAGAUCUUUCUAAGGCCCAGAAUGGAAGUACUGCGAUUUCAUCUCUGCUGUUCUUUGCCGUGGCCCCAGGGCCUUGAAAGUGCCUGGCACACGAUGGUGUGACCCUCACGGGCGGAACCCUGGAGGAUGUCGUACAUCCCAGAAAACCCACUACACCUCCGCCUCAUAGAGAGGAAGUUGAAAACGCAUCGAUCUCUGUGACCAAGGUUAGCCAAGCAGCAGUUCGCUGUACGAAUAAAUGUCUGGAAGCUCAUGGCCACCAC